UACGGAGGGUGCAAGCGUUAUCCGGAUUUACUGGGCGUAAAGCGUGCGCAGGCGGCUUUGCAAGACAGAUGUGAAAUCCCCGGGCUCAACCUGGGAACUGCAUUUGUGACUGCAUGGCUGGAGUGCGGCAGAGGGGGAUGGAAUUCCGCGUGUAGCAGUGAAAUGCGUAGAUAUGCGGAGGAACACCGAUGGCGAAGGCAAUCCCCUGGGCCUGCACUGACGCUCAUGCACGAAAGCGUGGGGAGCAAACAGG
rnacentral:rRNA from 1 species